UUUAUUCGUGUCUACGGGGGCAUAUAAACUGUUUGAAUAUUCUUUGAAUGUUCCGUUGUUUAUGCGCACUCGUAAGGAAGGACGUCCAUCCUGUGUAUCGUCUAAUAGCCUUAUCACCUUUCUUUUUUUGCUAAUUAUCAAUUUCAGUUGGUUUUCUAAGAUUUUAAGUAAUAUACAAGCAAGCAGAGUAGCAACAUAGUAAUAGUCUUGCUAUAGGUACUAUGUUGAGAAACAUUUUACGAUCAAAGUCAGAGGUGCUAACGAAAGAGAAAUAAAGUUGGUAAACAUUUGGACAUUUAACUAUUUAAAUACUUGUGUAAAUUCUAUUUAAUUAUACAAUUAUGACAUUUAUGUAUAAUAAAAAUGAAUUAUGUGGAGAAUAAAAGAAGUAACAUUUGUACACUAUUUAUAUUGAUGGAGCUUUUUGACAUCAACAAAUAAGUACGUGUCGAAAAAUGAGUUAUGAAUAAAAUGCAUUUAUCUAAACAAAAAGAAAGAUCAUCUAUUGGUUAAAAAGUAAUGCAGUUGAUUACAAGUUAAGCCAAUUAGAUGAUACAACCAACUAGGCGGAGAUUUGGAUCUGUUGAUUGUUCACCUUCCAUCCUCCAGACACUGAAGGCAUAAGAUAGCCUUUCAUGUGCCAUAUAACUACAUGAUGAUGAUGCUGCUGCUGAUAUUUCUCGAGUGGCUAUAAUUGCACUCCUAGGACUAGUGUGACCUGAAAUAAACAUAACAAACAUUGUUAUCAUAAGAAUUGUUGUAAGUUUAUUAACACAAGAAUAAACUAUAAAAAUAACUCUUCAACGUCAA